UACGUAGGGGGCAAGCGUUGUCCGGAAUCAUUGGGCGUAAAGAGCGUGUAGGCGGCCCGGUAAGUCCGCUGUAAAAGUCCAGGGCUCAACCCUGGAAAGCCGGUGGAUACUGUCGGGCUAGAGUCCGGAAGAGGCGAGUGGAAUUCCUGGUGUAGCGGUGAAAUGCGCAGAUAUCAGGAAGAACACCCGUGGCGAAGGCGGCUCUCUGGGACGGUACUGACGCUGAGACGCGAAGGCGUGGGGAGCGAACAGG
rnacentral:rRNA from 1 species